AAAAUUUGGUUUAAUCUACUGAACGGACUGCAAACUUCUUAGAGUUAGUUUACCCUUGGGUUCAACACUAAUUCUAUUUCCUAUUAUGACAAAGAUGGAUCAAAAGAAAACAGUAACAGAGGAGCUUGACUAGGUAAACCCAAAUUGUGAUAGAAACCUAGCUGACCUCUCUGGGCUUUGAGUGGGUCUUUCAAUUAUCAUGAUUCAGCAUGAAAUACUUGCUGCCUGUACCUAGAACUCCAACUAGGGCUUGAGGCUGUACCCUCCUUACUAUUGCUACUUCCUUUGCUGGUCUCCCCACAUCCCAGAGGAACAAUGCACUGCUUGGGAAGAUGUUGCCGGUCCACUUCCUGUGAACAGUUGUGAGUCACUGAAAACAGAAGCACAGGCUGGCUCGGCUGGCACCUCAGCUCAAAAAAAAAAA